CAGGAAGUAAUUUUGGUUUACUUUUAAAAUGCCAACCUCUGUAAAUAGUAAUUUAUUUUGAGUAAACAUUGAGUGAGAUAUAGCCAUAGAAUACAUUCAUGCCACUCAUAUUCAGCCACUCGGAAUGAUGGGAAGGAUUGCAGAACUGAGCAUCACUCUCACCUGACAUGCAGAUUCAGUAACCUAAUUGCCCAUGAUGGUUUCUGAGAAAAAAUCAGCUUGGUGUAAUUUGACAGUAUUUUUCAGUAUUUGACUUUCAUUCUAUCAUGCAACAGUCAUACCAUGAAGUGUCUCACAGAUUCUCUCUCAAUUCCUGCAAUAUCCAAGAUUACAGUGUAGUGCAAAGAGGAUUAAUUUUCUUGCAAUAAGAAGUAUUUGCACCUCCAAAUACCCCGGUACAGCAUGAACAGUUCCUUCAUUUUUUGAGUGAUUAUAGAGUGAAAAUGUUUCCAUAUAAAAUGCUGUCUUAUUAUGUGUAAAACUUCACAUGUUAUGAAUGGUUACAAAUACAUGCAUGGACAUUUACAAUCUUGUUAUCAGUACUAAAUAUUUUCCAUAAAUGAAUUAUUAAGUAAGUAGUUAAAGGGUUAACAGUCAAAGUAUAUGUUUGUUAUACAUGUGUAUGCAUUGAUAAUGAAUAAGUGUGUCACUUUAAACAGUUGCCAUGGUAACUAGAGUCUAGUUUUCUUAGGAAACUUUAAUUGUUGUCUAAAAACCUAAGUAUUUUCAAUGUGAUACUUCUUUAGCAUGUCCGGUUCAGUCAAUAAAAUAUUUCUGUUAUUUUUUUAUUCAUUUGGUCAUACUUUGUAUACAAUUAUAUUUAUAAUUUAACCUUAAAAAUUGCUGACAAUCUCAUACUUAUAUUAAAAUAUUCAGAAUUGCUAGAUUAUUCAAGUUCACCUUUUUUACAAUUGUCAGGCAAAUCUAUGAAAGAUAUACAUAAUUCUCCUUUUUAACAAAAAGCGAUGUUUCUUAGCAUUUUUUGUAUUUUUAUUGAAUGGUGACCAUGGCAACUAAUUUUUUGUUUGCCUUUCAUCUGCCUAUUUAUAAUACUAUUAAUUGUAAAAAUGCAACAGCCAAGCAGUGAAUGGAAGAAUGUAAAUGUUAUUUGUCUUUUACCUUAUUGCUAGCUCAUUCUUUAAAAUAUAGGGCAUUUUUAAAAAAAAUUAAAAGUAGACGUUUUUUCAUCAAUUUUUUUAACGUGAAAUAAAUUGCUUAAAACAUAGUUUACGCUCUGAUAUUUAGGAAUGUGUAUUAAAUUUAU